rnacentral:rRNA from 1 species
UACGGGGGGGGCAAGCGUUGUUCGGAAUUACUGGGCGUAAAGGGCGCGUAGGCGGUUUGUUGCGUCGGCUGUGAAAUCCCGAGGCUCAACCUCGGGUCUGCAGUCGAUACGAGCAAACUAGAGUGUUGCAGGGGAGACUGGAAUUCCUGGUGUAGCGGUGAAAUGCGCAGAUAUCAGGAGGAACACCGGUGGCGAAGGCGGGUCUCUGGGCAACAACUGACGCUGAGGAGCGAAAGCGUGGGGAGCGAACAGG